CAUUGCUUCAUUUUCAACAGUACUACCAUCACACUCUCCAAAUCACACAUGGGAUAUACAGACCUCCAUCUAUUUACUCCCCCCAAUUCCUUUCCUUCCGUCCGUGUCUCUCUCCACAUUACUGCUGAGUUUCCCAGAAGACAUUGAGGAUUCAAUUGAUUCAUAGCCAUCUGCUUCCUCCAGCGAUCUUCUUCGCAGCACAGCAUAUGCCUCCGUCACACUCAGUUAUCUUUCAGGAACCUAAUUUCAUUACCUCAAGGUUGACGCCUACAAAGUUGGAAUUUUCCCUGAAUCCAGGAAAUUCCCUGAACUUGUUAAGUUCAUUGACGAAGUGUUUUUGGAUUGAAUCCCAAAGUUCCCGUUUCAAGGCUUGGUCUUUUGUGCACAUUUUGCGUGGUGGGUUUUGUAAAUCAUCGCAUUUUAUUAAAGGUAUUUGAUCUGGGUAUUCUAAACUUAUCAACUGUUUUUCCGAGUUUGCAAAACAGUUCUGUGGUUUUGGGAAGCCCUUUGAUUUGUGAACUUUGAAGGAGCUGUAUAUUCUUGUGUUUGGUAGUGCGAAAGUGGUCUUGAUUCUUCAGAA